UGGGGAAUAUUGGACAAUGGGGGCAACCCUGAUCCAGCCAUUCCGCGUGAGUGAAGAAGGCCUUCGGGUUGUAAAGCUCUUUCAGCAGGAACGAAACGGUCGGCUUUAAUAAAGUCGGCUAAUGACGGUACCUGCAGAAGAAGCACCGGCUAACUACGUGCCAGCAGCCGCGGUAAUACGUAGGGUGCGAGCGUUAAUCGGAAUUACUGGGCGUAAAGCGUGCGCAGGCGGCGACAUAAGACAGAUGUGAAAUCCCCGGGCUCAACCUGGGAACUGCGUUUGUGACUGUGUUGCUAGAGUGUAGCAGAGGGGGGUGGAAUUCCACGUGUAGCAGUGAAAUGCGUAGAGAUGUGGAGGAACACCGAUGGCGAAGGCAGCCCCCUGGGUUAACACUGACGCUCAUGCACGAAAGCGUGGGGAGCAAACAGGAUUAGAUACCCUCGUAGUCCCUGAGCGGGCUGGCAAGGCGCAU
rnacentral:rRNA from 1 species